ACGAACGCUGGCGGCGUGCUUAACACAUGCAAGUCGAACGGAAAGGCCCUGCUUGCAGGGUACUCGAGUGGCGAACGGGUGAGUAACACGUGGGUGAUCUGCCCUGCACUUCGGGAUAAGCCUGGGAAACUGGGUCUAAUACCGGAUAGGAGCCAUUUUUAGUGUGAUGGUUGGAAAGUUUUUUCGGUGUAGGAUGAGCUCGCGGCCUAUCAGCUUGUUGGUGGGGUAAUGGCCUACCAAGGCGGCGACGGGUAGCCGGCCUGAGAGGGUGGACGGCCACAUUGGGACUGAGAUACGGCCCAGACUCCUACGGGAGGCAGCAGUGGGGAAUAUUGCACAAUGGGCGCAAGCCUGAUGCAGCGACGCCGCGUGGGGGAGGACGGCCUUCGGGUUGUAAACUCCUUUCGCUAGGGACGAAGCUUUUUGUGACGGUACCUAGAGAAGAAGCACCGGCUAACUACGUG
rnacentral:rRNA from 1 species